rnacentral:rRNA from 1 species
AACUGAGAGGUUGAUCGGCCACAUUGGGACUGAGACACGGCCCAAACUCCUACGGGAGGCAGCAGUAGGGAAUCUUCCACAAUGGACGCAAGUCUGAUGGAGCAACGCCGCGUGAGUGAAGAAGGCUUUCGGGUCGUAAAACUCUGUUGUUGGAGAAGAAUGGUCGGCAGAGUAACUGUUGUCGGCGUGACGGUAUCCAACCAGAAAGCCACGGCUAACUACGUGCCAGCAGCCGCGGUAAUACGUAGGUGGCAAGCGUUAUCCGGAUUUAUUGGGCGUAAAGCGAGCGCAGGCGGUUUUUUAAGUCUGAUGUGAAAGCCCUCGGCUUAACCGAGGAAGUGCAUCGGAAACUGGGAAACUUGAGUGCAGAAGAGGACAGUGGAACUCCAUGUGUAGCGGUGAAAUGCGUAGAUAUAUGGAAGAACACCAGUGGCGAAGGCGGCUGUCUGGUCUGUAACUGACGCUGAGGCUCGAAAGCAUGGGUAGCGAACAGGAUUAGAUACCCUGGUAGUCCAUGCCGUAAACGAUGAAUGCUAGGUGUUGGAGGGUUUCCGCCCUUCAGUGCCGCAGCUAACGCAUUAAGCAUUCCGCC